UGAGGAAUAUUGGACAAUGGGCGAGAGCCUGAUCCAGCCAUGUCGCGUGCAGGAAGACUGCCCUAUGGGUUGUAAACUGCUUUUGUACGGGAAGAAACCCCUUUACGUGUAGAGGAUUGACGGUACCGUACGAAUAAGGAUCGGCUAACUCCGUG
rnacentral:rRNA from 1 species